rnacentral:rRNA from 1 species
UUACCGAGUGAGGGCCCUCUGGGUCCAACCUCCCACCCGUGUUUAUUUUACCUUGUUGCUUCGGCGGGCCCGCCUUAACUGGCCGCCGGGGGGCUUACGCCCCCGGGCCCGCGCCCGCCGAAGACACCCUCGAACUCUGUCUGAAGAUUGUAGUCUGAGUGAAAAUAUAAAUUAUUUAAAACUUUCAACAACGGAUCUCUUGGUUCCGGCAUCGAUGAAGAACGCAGCGAAAUGCGAUACGUAAUGUGAAUUGCAAAUUCAGUGAAUCAUCGAGUCUUUGAACGCACAUUGCGCCCCCUGGUAUUCCGGGGGGCAUGCCUGUCCGAGCGUCAUUUCUGCCCUCAAGCACGGCUUGUGUGUUGGGCCCCGUCCUCCGAUCCCGGGGGACGGGCCCGAAAGGCAGCGGCGGCACCGCGUCCGGUCCUCGAGCGUAUGGGGCUUUGUCACCCGCUCUGUAGGCCCGGCCGGCGCUUGCCGAUCAACCCAAAUUUUUAUCCAGGUUGACCUCGGAUCAGGUAGGGAUACCCGCUGAACUUAAGCAUAUCAAUAAAGCGGAGGAAAAGAAACCAACAGGGAUUGCCCCAGUAACGGCGAGUGAAGCGGCAAGAGCUCAAAUUUGAAAGCUGGCUCCUUCGGGGUCCGCAUUGUAAUUUGUAGAGGAUGCUUCGGGAGCGGUCCCCAUCUAAGUGCCCUGGAACGGGACGUCAUAGAGGGUGAGAAUCCCGUAUGGG